rnacentral:misc_RNA from 1 species
GAUGAAGAACGCAGCGAAAUGCGAUAAGUAAUGCGAAUUGCAGAAUUCCAGUGAGUCAUCGAAUCUUUGAACGCACAUUGCGCCCUUUGGUAUUCCGAAGGGCAUGCCUGUUCGAGCGUCAUUGCUGCCCUCAAGCACGGCUUGUGUGUUGGGCCCCCGCCCCCCGGCUUCGGGGGGCGGGCCCGAAAGGCAGCGGCGGCACCGCGUCCGGUCCUCGAGCGUAUGGGGCUUCGUCACCCGCUCUGUAGGCCCGGCCGGCGCCCGCCGGCGACCCCAAUCAAUCUUUCCAGGUUGACCUCGGAUCAGGUAGGGAUACCCGCUGAACUUAAGCAUAUCAAUAAGCGGAGGA